UCCUGUUGAUCCUGCAGGAGAUUGCUGCUAUCAGGGUUCGACUAAGCCAUGCAAGUCCUGGGGCCUUCGGGCACCGGCAAACUGCUCAGUAACACGUUGAUAAUCUACCCUUAAGUCUGGGAUAACCUCGGAAAACUGAGGCUAAGACCGGAUAGAAAACUAGUUCUGUAACGAAGGAUUUUCUAAAGGCAACGCUUAAGGAUGAGUCAGCGGCCGAUUAGGCUGUUGGUGGGGUAAAGGCCCACCAAACCAACGAUCGGUAGGGGCCUUGAGAGAGGUAGCCCCGAGAAGGGAACUGAGACACAGUCCCUAGCCCUACGGGGUGCAGCAGGCGCGAAACCUCUACAAUGCACGAAAGUGUGAUAGGGGGACCCUGAGUGCUCAGCUCUGCUGGGCUUUUGCCAAGAGUAAAAACCUUGGCGAAUAAGUGGUGGGUAAGACUGGUGCCAGCCGCCGCGGUAACACCAGCGCCACGAGUGGCAAUCAUUAUUAUUGGGCCUAAAGCGUCCGUAGCAGGUUUUGUAAAUCUCUUGUGAAAUUGUCAAGCUCAACUUGGCAACGUGCAAGAGACACUGCAAGACUUGGGACCGGGAGGAGUCAGAGGUAUUCCAUGGGGAGCGGUAAAAUGCUAUAAUCCAUGGAGGACCACCUAUGGCGAAGGCAUCUGACCAGAACGGAUCCGACUGUGAGGGACGAAAGCCAGGGGAGCGAACCGGAUUAGAUACCCGAGUAGUCCUGGCUGUAAACGCUGCGAUCUAGGUGUUGCGCAAUCUUCGCGAUUGCGCAGUAUCGGAGCGAAGGUGUUAAGCUCGCCGCCUGGGAAGUACGGUCGCAAGGCUGAAACUUAAAGGAAUUGGCGGGGAGACACUACAAGGAGUGCGGCGUGCGGUUUAAUCUAACUCCACUCAGAGAAUCUCACCAGAAGCGACGGCACUGUGAAGGUCUGAUUAAAGGUUAUACCUGAGGAGCCGAGAGGUGGUGCAUGGCGCCGUCAGCUCGUGCCGUAAGGUGUCCAUUUAAGUAUGGUAACGAGCGAGACCUAUGCCCACAAUUGCUAGCGAGUCCUUUUGGACGAUCGAGCACAUUGUGGGGACUGCCUUGGUAACGAGGAGGAAGGUGUAGGCUACGGUAGGUCUGUAUGCCCCGAAUCUUCUGGGCUACACGCGGGCAACAAUGGUAGGUACAAUGGGAUACGACUCCGAAAGGAGAAGUUAAGCCUCGAAAACCUAUCCAAGUCCGGAUCGAGGGUUGUAACUCACCCUCGUGACGAUGGAAUUCCUAGUAAUCGGGUAUUAUCAGUGCCCGGUGAAUACGUCCCUGUCUCUUGCACACACCGCCCGUCAAGCCACUCGAGCAGGGUUUAGAUGAGGCUCGGUUUUUUGAUCAAGUCGAAUCUAAGCUCAGUGAGAAGGGCUAAGUCGUCACAAGGUA
rnacentral:rRNA from 1 species